rnacentral:rRNA from 1 species
UACGAAGGGGGCUAGCGUUGUUCGGAAUUACUGGGCGUAAAGCGCACGUAGGCGGAUUGGUCAGUUAGAGGUGAAAUCCCGAAGCUCAACUUCGGAACUGCCUUUAAUACUGCCAAUCUAGAGUCCGGAAGAGGUGAGUGGAACUCCUAGUGUAGAGGUGGAAUUCGUAGAUAUUAGGAAGAACACCAGUGGCGAAGGCGGCUCACUGGUCCGGUACUGACGCUGAGGUGCGAAAGCGUGGGGAGCAAACAGG